AUGUCUAUCUCUAAAUAUAGAGGUGGAAUGGGGUUCAAGGAUUUACAGUUGUUUAAUGAUGCAAUGUUGGUCAAACAGGCCUGGAGAUUAUUGGAUAAACCAGAUAGCUUAUGUGCUAGGGUACUUCGAGGAAGAUACUUUCCAGAUGGGGAUUUUUUACAAGCUGGUUGUCCAAAGGGUGCCUCGACAACCUGGAAAGCUAUUUGUCAGGGG
rnacentral:rRNA from 1 species